rnacentral:rRNA from 1 species
UCGCCUGUUUAUUCAAAAACAUGUCUGUAUGAUUGGUGUAUAGAGUCUGGCCUGCCCACUGAUUUUAAGAGAUUAAAGGGCCGCGGUAUAUUGACCGUGCGAAGGUAGCAUAAUCAUUAGUCUUUUAAUUGGAGGCUGGAAUGAAUGGUUUUACAAGAAGUUUACUGUCUUUAUAUUAAAAUUUGAACUUUACUUUUAAGUGAAAAGGCUUAAAUAAUUUAAAGGGACGAUAAGACCCUAUAAAACUUUACAUUGAAAAGUAUUUUAGUGAAUUAUUUGUAUAAAUUUAAAGAAGCUUUUGGUAUGUUUUGUUGGGGCGACAAGAAUAAAAUAGGAAUUGUAACUGUUAGAUGAGAAAACAAAUAAUUUUUGAAAGGUUAAUAAUGGUCCUUAAAAAAGAGUAGAAGAUUAAGUUACUUUAGGGAUAACAGCGUUAUUUUUUUGGAGAGUUCUUAUCAAUAAAAAAGAUUGCGACCUCGAUGUUGAAUUAAAAUUUCUUUAUAAUGUAGCAGUUAUAGGAGAAAGUCUGUUCGACUUUUAAAAUUUUACAUGAUUUGAGUUCAAACCGGUGUGAGCCAGGUUGGGUUUCUAUCUA